rnacentral:rRNA from 1 species
GACGAACGCUGGCGGCGUGCUUAACACAUGCAAGUCGAACGGAAAGGCCCUGCUUUUGUGGGGUGCUCGAGUGGCGAACGGGUGAGUAACACGUGAGUAACCUGCCCUUGACUUUGGGAUAACUUCAGGAAACUGGGGCUAAUACCGGAUAGGAGCUCCUGCUGCAUGGUGGGGGUUGGAAAGUUUCGGCGGUUGGGGAUGGACUCGCGGCUUAUCAGCUUGUUGGUGGGGUAGUGGCUUACCAAGGCUUUGACGGGUAGCCGGCCUGAGAGGGUGACCGGCCACAUUGGGACUGAGAGACGGACCAGACUGCUACGGGAGGCAGCAGUGGGGAAUAUUGCACAAUGGGCGGAAGCCUGAUGCAGCAGCGCCGCGUGCGGGAUGACGGCCUUCGGGUUGUAAACCGCUUUCGACUGUGACGAAGCGUGAGUGACGGUAAUGGGUAAAGAAGCACCGGCUAACUACGUG